CGUCAUAGCUCAGCUGGAUAGAGCACUCGCCUCCUAAGCGGUAGAUGGUUCGAGUCCAAAUGAGGCAAACA
rnacentral:tRNA from 1 species